rnacentral:tRNA from 1 species
GCCUGACUGGCUUAAUUGGUGGAGUAUGUGACUCUUGAUCUUGGGGUCAUGAGUUCAAUCCCCAUGUUUGGCA